AAAAUUCGCCUAUUGUUGCGUCACUCGCGUGCACUAUGACGUAAAUUACGUCACGAUCCUGUUCUAAUCGAACAGCUGAUUUAGGCUUUGCUGGCGGAAAAUGAAAUUAUGUUUGCAGCAAAACAGAGUGUGUAGUGUACCGUUCACUUAGCGUUUUCUGUUACUUUUAAAUUAAGUAGUAUGCGUAGAUAUUGCCGUGGCCUGAUUUUAGUUAAUGUUUUUAAAAUUGUUUGUAAGUGUAUUACAGUAUUACACUAUUUAAAUUUGUCAGUUAACAAUAAUGUAAAAGUGUGUGAUGUAUAGUCAUGUAGAAGCAUUUUGUCUGAUGAAGUGGUAUAAGUGAAGAUCCUAGUCCACUAGCAAUAGGUAUUGAGCCUUUCCAGCUUGAACCUGUACUUCCAGCAAGUGUUGGGGAAGUAGACAGGCCAAGUUUACCUACCAUGGAAAACAAGUCAAGCUGAGCAAAUCAACAACACGAUUUGACAGUAUCGCUACACAGCUGAUCAGAACUUUGUUCGAUAGGUACGGGAAUGACUGGAAAAG